rnacentral:piRNA from 1 species
UUGCCCAAGACAUCUCACAUGACCAA